GAGGGUAGGGGGGCGCGAUCGCCCUUACUCCUACGUUCAGUUUGAGUUGAAAAUUGCGGACAAUGUCCCCAAAGACUGAUCCAUAUAUGUCGCGCGUAGGAAGAGAGUUCUACGGAUUGUAAACGGCUUUUAUUCACGAAGAGACCUACCCUCGUAACGGAGCUUGUUCUCUCCGUAUGCUUUCGCACCUUCUCACUCCUAGCUACCUAGCGCACUGAUACGGAGGGCGCAAGCCUUGGUCGUAAUUAUUGGUUUUAACGGUUCAGUACGUGUUCUAUCAACUUCCGUAUAAAUCCCCACUACUAAACUGAGAGGCUGCUUUUGAUAUUGGCAGAGGGAAUUCACCCCUGACUUAUUAGUCCGCCUAGGGACCCUUUGAACCUUACGAAUAUGGAUAUCAAUUGCUGCCUCCGUAUUACCUCUUUUGCUGGCUACGAGUACUGAGGUGCUUAGGCGUACGGAGCGGACGAGAUUGGAUACCCUGGAAGUCCACGCCCUAAACGAUGGCUACUAGAUGUUGAAGGAAUCGACAUCCUCUGCGCUCGGAGCUAAGGGUCUCACUUUCGCGU
rnacentral:rRNA from 1 species